AAGUCGUAACAAGGUUUCCGUAGGUGAACCUGCGGAAGGAUCAUUACAAAUCCGUGAGUGUGGUGUGAUAUGUUGAAAUUGUGGUGGGUGUGAGUGUGGUGUGGUAGAGACACGUAGUGACAGACAUUCAGACAGUGUCCAUUUGGAUACUUUGUUUGUCUGUGUCCAUGUGUGUCUAUCUAACUCUAUUAUAUCACCCAAAAACCCUAACCCUAGUGAUGCAUGUUGUCGAUUGAGAUUAUACACACACAGAAACACACAACUUAUAACAAUGGAUCUCUAGGCUCUU
rnacentral:misc_RNA from 1 species